rnacentral:rRNA from 1 species
UACGUAGGGUCCAAGCGUUGUCCGGAUUUAUUGGGAGUAAAGAGUUCGUAGGCGGCUUAGUAAGUUGGAUGUGAAAACUCGGGGCUCAACCCCGAGACGCCAUCCGAUACUGCUGUGGCUUGAGUCUGGUAGGGGAACACGGAAUUCCUGGUGUAGCGGUGAAAUGCGCAGAUAUCAGGAGGAACACCGAUGGCGAAGGCAGCUCGCUGGGACGUAACUGACGCUGAGACGCGAAAGCGUGGGGAGCAAACAGG